GUGGGGAAUAUUGCGCAAUGGGCGAAAGCCUGACGCAGCCAUGCCGCGUGUGUGAAGAAGGCCUUAGGGUUGUAAAGCACUUUCAAUUGGGAAGAAAGGUUGCGUGUUAAUAGCACGUAGCUGUGACGUUACCUUUAGAAGAAGCACCGGCUAACUCCGUGCCAGCAGCCGCGGUAAUACGGAGGGUGCGAGCGUUAAUCGGAAUUACUGGGCGUAAAGCGCGCGUAGGCGGUUUGUUAAGUCGGAUGUGAAAGCCCCGGGCUCAACCUGGGAAUUGCAUUCGAUACUGGCCGACUAGAGUACGAGAGAGGGAGGUAGAAUUCCACGUGUAGCGGUGAAAUGCGUAGAUAUGUGGAGGAAUACCGGUGGCGAAGGCGGCCUCCUGGCUCGAUACUGACGCUGAGGUGCGAAAGCGUGGGUAGCAAACAGGAUUAGAAACCCUAGUAGUCC
rnacentral:rRNA from 1 species